CUACUCUCACCCCGUCGCUGCAUAUUCAGCGAACGGGUUUAGCAGCCCGGACC
rnacentral:ncRNA from 1 species